rnacentral:rRNA from 1 species
UCCGGAAUCACUGGGCGUAAAGGGCGCGUAGGCGGCCCGAUAAGUAGGGGGUGAAAUCCUGCGGCUUAACCGCAGGGCUGCCUUCUAAACUGUCGGGCUAGAGCACGGUAGAGGCAGAUGGAAUUCCCGGUGUAGCGGUGGAAUGCGUAGAGAUCGGGAAGAACACCAAGUGCGAAGGCAGCUGGCUAAACAGAUAUUGACGCUGAGGCACGAAAGCGUGGGGAUCAAACAGG